rnacentral:snoRNA from 1 species
UAGCCUCUUCUUGGCCAGGCACAGUGGUUCACGCUUGUAUUCCUAGCAAGCGUGGUGGCCAAGACAGGCAGAUUGCUUCAGCCCAGGAGUUUGAGACCAGCCUGGGCAACAUGG